GAUGAUGUGGUGCAGGUAGGUCCGCGCCGCCUCGGGCGUGUCGGUGACGCCUGCGCGCUUGAGCACUUCGUUGUUCGGAAUCCACACGCCGCCACC
rnacentral:tRNA from 1 species